GUGCUCACUUUGGCAGCACAUAUACUAAAAUUGGAAUGAUACUGAGAUUAGCAUGGCCCCUGCGCAAGGGUGACAGGCAAAUUCAUGAAGCGUUCCAUUAAAAA
ensembl:snRNA U6 U6 spliceosomal RNA